GCGCCCAUAGCUCAGUUGGAUAGAGCAACGGACUUCUAAUCCGUAGGUCGCAGGUUCGAAUCCUGCUGGGCGUA
rnacentral:tRNA from 1 species